CUCUUUCCUUCUCUCUCUCUCUCUCUCUCUGUCUUUUCUUUUCUUUUCUCCCUCGUUGGUUUGUUGGUUCGUUCGCGGUGACCUCUCCGUGGUCGUAGAUAAUGUACUCGAACCGCGAAGAAGAAAGGAAGAGAUAAUCAGAAGCAGCGAAGGAGGCGCAGGCAAGCACAGAAGAAGAGAAGCUGAUCUUGUAGCUACUCCUCUCGAGAUCUUGUCGCUUUGGUUUUCACUGCCAAUAAAGUGCCACGCGUGCUCCUCUUUUUUUUCUUCCCCUUUUCGGACAAUGCGUUUUAUCACGUUGCUAGUACAUGUGACAGACUCGAUACCAAUUAAUAGAAAUUCGUUCCAGCCGUCGGAGAUGACAAUCGACAACAGAGAGCGUUGUUUAUUAUGAAUCGUAUUUUUUUACGUAGACAAGCAAAUACUUGGACGUUGACGAGCCAUUGUCGGUAUACGAUCUUUCAAGGCCUAACUUUAAAGAAGAUGAACCGAAACGAUCUUAACGACUUAGACGUGCACGUGCAGUGACUGUCCAGAUUACAACCUUACCGCUAUAUUUAAAUGUGAUCAGUAUAUUUGUAUAUCUGUAUCUUUCUUCCCGCUUUCUUCUCUUAGUGUGUCUACCAAUCUCUCUCUUCCUCUAGUGGUUUAUAUACCGUGUCUAUUUUCGGUUGGAAUUCAACGCGAGAUUUUGCGGUGGGCACCGUAUUAUGUAUCGUUCCUAACAAAAGUUGGCCAGUAAUCGAGAACCGAUAUAUGAAAACGGACGCUAUCUCCAUUUGUAAAAUGAUUAUGGUUUAAUUGUAAAUGUGAUAUAUUUAUCAUUACCGUAUUAAGCCGUUGGGUGUAGAAAUUGAGAAUGAGUCGUGCGCAAU